rnacentral:rRNA from 1 species
AUGGUGUUGCUAGACAUUAGGGGUAUGUUGCAGUCCAUGGGUAAAGAUAUUGUUGAUUUCGCUCUUCCGAGCAUAGAUGAUGCGUUUGACCCAACCGAGGGCGAGGCAAGAGAGGUCAUCGAGGAAACAACCGUUGAGUUUGACAUGGAUGACACUAAGUUGGUAUCUUCGCUGAACUUGGAACAAAGGGCCGCAUACGACGAGAUACUAACGGCUGUUGAACGCGGUGAUGGGGGUGUAUUCUUUGUUGAUGGCCCUGGAGGUACAGGGAAGACCUUCCUAUACAUGGCGAUGCUUGCCAAGGUGAGGAGCCAAGGCAAGAUUGGUAUCGCUACCGCGACGUCGGGCGUCGCCGCUUCUAUCAUGCCUGGCGGCAGGACUGCCCACUCGAGGUUCAAGAUCCCAUUGAGUUGCGAUGAUGGAGCCUCGUGCAUCUUCACCAAGCAGAGUGGGACCGCCAAGCUCCUAAGGAUGGCCUCAUUGAUAAUAUGGGAUGAGGCCAGCAUGACGAAGCGACAAGCGGUAGAGGCAUUGGACAACAGCAUGCGCGACAUCAUGGGAAUACGUGACCGGCCCUUUGGAGGAAAGACUAUUGUUUUUGGUGGGGACUUUCGGCAGGUGCUUCCGGUCGUCAGAAGGGGGUCGCGGGGCCAGAUAAUUGAUGCAACCCUCCGAAGUUCUCAUCUGUGA